AAGCAACACCCAGAGCCGGAGGAACGACGGUCCGGUGGCCCCGACAGGAGAAGGAGGUGGGCAGGUACUCAGCAGCCAGGACUGCGUGACAUUCUGAGUCUGCUGCCACGAGGAGGCCUGCUAGCACAGAGCAGAAGCCGGGGGUCUGUGUGGUGACGACAGCCCCAGGAGAUGGCCACCCACCUUGCACGGCGUCCCCUCUGCAGCCACAGCCUGGUCAUCGAUGGACAGAAUGUCCCAGCCCAGCCUGGGACCCAGGCUCCCCUCCAGCCCACUCUCACCCACCACUGGCUGGGAGAGCCCGCGGGCUCAGCGCUGGGAGGAACGCCUUUAUCCGCAGACUGGUACCCGGCGACCGGGGACUCGGUCCCUGACCACUCACCCCUCCCUUCUGGCCAUCUGAUUGCCAGCAGCUGUGACAAUCCGUACUGAGCCCACCCCUGCCUCCCCAGAGCUCAGCCCUGCCGUCUGCUGCCUCCUCCAUGCACACCUGGGCACAGGUAAGCACCCCUCCCCUAUUCACUCCCAGAUCUCAGAGCGCCCCCACAUGACGAGGUGCCGGACUCCUUGUGGUGUCAGGGAUCCCAGGCCUGGUACAAUGAGGCACCCACCCCAGGUGGACACACCGUCCCCUCACCCAACAGGACACUAAACAUCUAUCCGUGCAUUUGGAGGUUUUCAUGGACAUCUAUUAAGCAGCCAUAACACGUGACGAGCUGACUCCACUUUGCUGCCAGGAUCCCUGCCACUGAGUCUGGUGUAUCCCGCCACAGACGGAAACUGGGGACUGAUUUCCUGAAUCUAAGCCCGACACUGCGUCUGUCCUCAGUAAAGCCCCGCUCCCCGGCUGUGGCCACCUGGAGCGAGCCCAGGCCUCCUUGGAACCCAUGUGGCCGCAAGCUGGCCCUUCCCGGCGCAAGACCACACAAGGUGCCUGUCCUGCUCCAACACUCACGGUGCUGCCCAGCCACAUUGGACCCGGGUCACAUCCACAGCCCUGCCCCAGACGGGGGAAAUACCUGGGGGCCAGGGUCAGACAAGCCUCAGGUGAAGGGUGCGACCCCAGCAGCUCUGCAGACACGAGUCAGAAGCACUCCUCUCAGGGGGCAGGCUGGCCGGAGUCUCCGGCCCACAGCUGCUUCACCACCGGGAGAUUCUUGUCUCUCAGCUCAGAUAAUUACAGUCCUCGGUGCUCGGUUAACACCCAUGUCAUUGCAGGGUGCCGGAGCACACAGGGGCUGAGCGAGGCAAGUUAAACAACAGCAUUUGACAAGUGGGCCCUCCCCUGUGGCACCGUGCUGAGCCAGGCUGAAGGGACAGAGGCCAGGCCUUGCCGGCUACCCCCCCGGGAGGAGCCCUCUCCUCGAGGCAAGAGGCACAUGAUGAGUAAGACAGUAGCCUUCUUGGGAGAAGCCCAAAGUGGGUGAAGGGAAACCAUCAGGGAGCCAGAAAGGGGGAGGGGUCGGGCAGGCCCCUGGUAGCCACAGGGGCGGGUUCAGGGGCACAGCCGCCCCAGAGCCGCCUGAGCAAGUGAGAAGCAUCCUCCCUGGGUGUAAAGCAGCACCCCACUUCCCCGUGCCUGGGAGAUGGUGAGGUCACAGAGGACUGUGCCCAGCACUUCCCACACCUCACUGCCUCGGCCCCUCUCAGCCUUCCCACACCCCAGGGAGCUGCACCCCAAGAUAUCAGUGCUGGGCCCCACAUGCAGGGGCUGCUGAGGGGACACCACAGGCCACCGAGUCCCCAGCUGGCUUCAUCACCAAGAAUUCAUCCCGCAUCCCCUGCCCCAGGAAAGAUUCCAGGUCUCAUGGUCAACAAACAGUAGUGCGGAGCCAGAGCCCUGAGUCCACUUGCUGCAAACAGAGGGUCUGCAGAAUCCUAGCACCAACCACUCACAUGGUCCUGCAUCUCAUCACCUGCACCACACCGCGCCCACCCACCUCACCCCAGGACCAAACUCAGGCCUCCCACGGAGGCCCAGAGACACGGCACACUGAGCCGUGACCCAGCAAGGCUCACCACACAUCAGUCGCCAGCCCCGUGCAGGCACCUGUGGCUGCUCCCAUGUAACCUGCCUCACAGUUGUCGCACCUGUCCUAUUUCAUAGGUAGGAGGCUCACUGACUUGUGGGAAGUGGUAGAUUCGGGAUUUAAAGCCAAGUCUGACUUUCUCCACACCCCACAGGACAUCUGAGGACAGUCCAAGCAUCUUGUUGUUUUUGAGGGCAGUCCAAGGAGACCCCCAGCCAGCUCUCCCUGAGCCCCCCGUCCUCAGGGUAACCCCCAGCUGCUUGCUUACCCUCCUCCUGUGCCAAGGUAGGGGAUGGGGACGGCUCCCCCAAAUCCCACCCAAAGCGAGGUGCUGAACAGCCUUCAGCUUCCGGGCGCCCGCCGUGAGACAGAACACAUGUUUCCUGAGCCCUCUCCCUCCUCAGCUCCCCCGGCAUGCUGAGGAUAUUAUUAUUAUUUAUUGUUUGCUGAGUGCUGACAGUGUGCUGAGCAUCAGGCCUGGGAGCCCCGGCCCCGCCCACGCAGCUUGCAGUCAGCUAGCCAGGGCGACAGAGCUUCUCAGCAACCCAGAUGUGCCCCCGGCUGCCGGGCCUGGGUGCUCAGGACCCAGCCUCCCGGGGCCUCCUCUCCUGCCCGCCACCCCAGCAGCCCCUGCCCCUGGGCCUCUCACACACCCAGGAGGGAGAUGUGUUUAGUCCAACCAGCCAGACGUUCCAGAGGCUGGGCCUCCAACCCCACAAGCAAUGGG